UUAUUCGGCAUUCUGGACAUUCAAUUGUCGAAAAAAUCUUUCGCCUUUUAGUAAAGAUUUCCGUGGGGAGGAACACUCUAAUGAGUAGAAUCUCUAUUUCCUUAGGGCCUGGCUAUUUAUGUAGCUC